ensembl:snoRNA
GGUCUUUUGUAGUUCGUGGGCAUGAUAAUUGGGUAUUCAUGCAUGUAUGUCAGAUGUGCCAACCUCGAACCUGCACAUUACCCAUCUGACC